GACGAACGCUGGCGGCGUGCUUAACACAUGCAAGUCGAACGGAAAGGCCCUGCUUUUGUGGGGUGCUCGAGUGGCGAACGGGUGAGUAACACGUGAGUAACCUGCCCUUGACUUUGGGAUAACUUCAGGAAACUGGGGCUAAUACCGGAUAGGAGCUCCUGCUGCAUGGUGGGGGUUGGAAAGUUUCGGCGGUUGGGGAUGGACUCGCGGCUUAUCAGCUUGUUGGUGGGGUAGUGGCUUACCAAGGCUUUGACGGGUAGCCGGCCUGAGAGGGUGACCGGCCACAUUGGGACUGAGAUACGGCCCAGACUCCUACGGGAGGCAGCAGUGGGGAAUAUUGCACAAUGGGCGGAAGCCUGAUGCAGCAACGCCGCGUGCGGGAUGACGGCCUUCGGGUUGUAAACCGCUUUCGCCUGUGACGAAGCGUGAGUGACGGUAAUGGGUAAAGAAGCACCGGCUAACUACGUGCCAGCAGCCGCGGUGAUACGUAGGGUGCGAGCGUUGUCCGGAUUUAUUGGGCGUAAAGGGCUCGUAGGUGGUUGAUCACGUCGGAAGUGUAAUCUUGGGGCUUAACCCUGAGCGUGCUUUCGAUACGGGUUGACUUGAGGAAGGUAGGGGAGAAUGGAAUUCCUGGUGGAGCGGUGGAAUGCGCAGAUAUCAGGGGGAACACCAGUGGCGAAGGCGGUUCUCUGGGCCUUUCCUGACGCUGAGGAGCGAAAGCGUGGGGAGCGAACAGGCUUAGAUACCCUGGUAGUCCACGCUGUAAACGGUGGGUACUAGGUGUGGGGUCCAUUCCACGGGUUCCGUGCCGUAGCUAACGCUUUAAGUACCCCGCCUGGGGAGUACGGCCGCAAGGCUAAAACUCAAAGGAAUUGACGGGGCCCCGCACAAGCGGCGGAGCAUGCGGAUUAAUUCGAUGCAACGCGUAGAACCUUACCUGGGUUUGACAUGGAUCGGGAGUGCUCAGAGAUGGGUGUGCCUCUUUUGGGGUCGGUUCACAGGUGGUGCAUGGCUGUCGUCAGCUCGUGUCGUGAGAUGUUGGGUUAAGUCCCGCAACGAGCGCAACCCUUGUUCACUGUUGCCAGCACGUUAUGGUGGGGACUCAGUGGAGACCGCCGGGGUCAACUCGGAGGAAGGUGGGGAUGACGUCAAGUCAUCAUGCCCCUUAUGUCCAGGGCUUCACGCAUGCUACAAUGGCUGGUACAGAGAGUGGCGAGCCUGUGAGGGUGAGCGAAUCUCGGAAAGCCGGUCUCAGUUCGGAUUGGGGUCUGCAACUCGACCUCAUGAAGUCGGAGUCGCUAGUAAUCGCAGAUCAGCAACGCUGCGGUGAAUAAGUUCCCGGGGCU
rnacentral:rRNA from 1 species